UGGACUCUAAGUCUCUUAUGGUGACUUAGUCCCAGAGUUCUAAUUGUGGCUCUCAGUUCAGCCAACUGAGCCUUAAUCCCUAGAGGGAAGGCCUCACCUUGGAGGUGUCAGUAAGGGUUAUUAUAGGUUAUCUGGCUCAGGGAAUCCUUCAUUCAUCACGAAACUCCCAAGGAAGAUCCCAUGCCAGGGAGCAUCUUUAAGACUUUUCUGUUACACGAUGAACCCUACAAAAAAUACUGGCGAGACGAAGAUGCUGCCUGGAAUCCAAGCAUCUGGGGCUGGAUCCUCCCAUCAUGUCCCCUGAGAAGGUCCAGCUGGAGAGACAAGCUAACAUGAACAUCCCCUCAUGUUAGGACUCACUGUUCUUUCUACUCCUGAUGCUAAGGUUGGGCCUCUUUGAGACUUUAUAUCCACCGUAGAGCCUGAGCUAGAGAGUGUCUAAAGCCUUUAGGGGGCUAAGGCUGUGAUGAGAGAAGACAGGGUGUAGGGGGUUGGGAGAAGUGACUGAGAAAGAGAGGGGAGAGAGGGUAAUAGCUUUGUGUUCCCACUGGAACGCAGCAUCCUCCAUAAUUCACACUGAACUUCAGCAUGAAGAAUCUACAAGGGGCUGGGGAUUUAGCUCAGUGGUAGAGUGCUUACCUAGGAAGCGCAAGGCCCUGGGUUCGGUCCCCAGCUCCGGAAAAAAAAGAACCAAAAAAAAAAGAAUCUACAAAACUAUUUUUGGUGCAUGUGUUACGUGGUGGGUAUGUGUGUAAGUGUCCGGAAGUGAGCCUUCUUCAAAUCAGUGUCUAUGCAGCAUGCAUGCACAAUAAAGCCAGAGGCGGACCAGCAGGGCAUUCCUCCAUAGCUCUCUACCCUCGUUUAUGUACUUAAAAAGUUUUAUGGGCUCAGCAGGCAAAUGCAUCUGCUGUCAAACAUCACAUCCUGAAUUCCAUCCCGAAGACCACAUGGAGGGAGAGACAAACUCCUGCAAGUUGUCCUCUGACCUACACAGGCUUGCUGCCUGCUGUGGUGUUACUUAGCAAUUUCCUCCUAGAGAAAACAUGCCACCCUGCAGGGAAGCCCUUCAAAACUAAGGAAGUAAACAACUCAAAAGCAUUAGGAAGUCCCUGAAACUGACCAGAUUCACUAGGCUCUUAUCUCUCCAAGGUUAUAUAAACGAUAAAGUCUUCUGAGAGAGACACUGAGAACAGAUGAGCUGUCUGGAGGAGACUCCAGCCGUCUAAGCUGCCUGCAAAAUUGUGCAGUGAGCACUAUGCUUCCAGGUUCUGUGCUCAUCAUCCAUGCUGGGAUAAGCUUUUGGUGAUGCAGCCAUCUUUGAGUGAUUUCUGCUACUCCACCCAUACUCCGCAUGUAGUCACAAUAAAACUCAUUGGCUUACCAA
rnacentral:sRNA from 1 species